rnacentral:lncRNA from 1 species
GCCUGGAAAUGAGAAUGGGAAUAACCUUUGAAAUGUAAAUGAGAAAUACCCAAUUUAAUUUAGAUGGAAGAAAAAGAAGAAAAGGGAAAAAAAGAUUCUCAAGGUAGAUCUGCAACAGCACCAUUGCGAUCCUAGGGAACAUCACCAUCCCUUAGAUUUGCAGAAAGCUGUUUCAUCUACGUGGAAGGGACCAGAUGUUCUUCUCUCCUCCGCAAGGGGGCAUGCAUGUGUCUUUCCACAGGAUGCCGAGUCACCAGUCUGGAUUCCGGACCGCCUCAUCAGAUCAUACAAUCCCAGGGCAGAAAAGCAGAAAGUCUCCCCUCAACAACCGACAGCGAAAGAUGAGAGCGGAGCGUGCCUCAUUCCUGAUGACGCCAGACAGCUCUGAGCAGCGCCUCACUUCUGCUUUCACCAGGCUUCAGCUGCAUGGUCGCUCAUCUACCACGCUGUUGCCAACUUGGGAUCAGCUUCAAGAAUUGGUCUCUGCUGCAAGAGAUAGCGUGCUUCCUCUCCGCCUCCCAGUUACUCCCUCCAAUCUUCUCCUGCUAUGCUUUCACUUCUCUUCACCCAGGUGCUUCCUACACAAGAAGUCACAUGACCAGAGAGUGUCACUUGUCAAAGAACCAAGAACUUGUUCAAAACUCUGCAUAGGAUCCAAUCUAUCACAUGGAUAUGCAAUAAUGAGGUGUGUUAUUAAUCUGUCACCAUUUCUAGACUGCAGCUUCAAAAAGAGCAGCAAAAUAUGCUUGC